AUUGAACGCUGGCGGCAGGCCUAACACAUGCAAGUCGAGCGGCAGCGGGAAAGUAGCUUGCUACUUUUGCCGGCGAGCGGCGGACGGGUGAGUAAUGCCUGGGGAUCUGCCCAGUCGAGGGGGAUAACUACUGGAAACGGUAGCUAAUACCGCAUACGCCCUACGGGGGAAAGCAGGGGACCUUCGGGCCUUGCGCGAUUGGAUGAACCCAGGUGGGAUUAGCUAGUUGGUGAGGUAAUGGCUCACCAAGGCGACGAUCCCUAGCUGGUCUGAGAGGAUGAUCAGCCACACUGGAACUGAGACACGGUCCAGACUCUAUCCAUUC
rnacentral:rRNA from 1 species